rnacentral:rRNA from 1 species
AGUGAACGCUGGCGGUAGGCCUAACACAUGCAAGUCGAACGGCAGCACAGUAAGAGCUUGCUCUUACGGGUGGCGAGUGGCGGACGGGUGAGUAAGACAUCGGAAUCUACUUUUUCGUGGGGGAUAACGUAGGGAAACGUACGCUAAUACCGCACACCACCUACGUGUGAAAGCAGGGGAUCUUCGGACCUUGCGCGAUUGAAUGAGCCGGUGUCGGAUUAGCCAGUUGGGGAGGUAACGGACCACCAAGGCGACGAUCCGUAGCUGAUCUGAGAGGAUAAUCGGCGACACUGGGGCUGAGACACGGCCCAGACUCCUGCGGGAGGCAGAAGAAGGGAAGUGUCGGCAAUGGACGAAAGUCUGACCGAGCAACGCUGCGGGAGAGAAGAAGGGGUUCGGAUCGCAAAGCUCUGUUGUAAGAGAAGAACGGGUGUGAGAGUGGAAAGUUCACACUGGGACGGUAUCUUACCAGAAAGGGACGGCGAACUACGUG